rnacentral:rRNA from 1 species
CCUACGGGAGGCUGCAGUGGGGAAUAUUGGGCAAUGGGGGAAACCCUGAUGCAGCGACGCCGCGUGAGUGAAGAAGUACUUCGUUAUGUAAAGCUCUAUCAGCAGGGAAGAAAAUGACGGUACCUGAGUAAGAAGCCCCGGCUAACUACGUGCCAGCAGCCGCGGGAAGACGUAGGGGGCAAGGGUUAACCGGAUUUACUGGGUGGAAAGGGAGCGUAGACGGCAGUGCAAGUCUGGAGUGAAAGGCGGGGGCUCAACCCCCGGACUGCUCUGGAAACUGGACGGCUGGAGUGCAGGAGAGGUAAGUGGAAUUCCUGGUGUAGCAGUGAAAUGCGUAGAUAUUAGGAGGAACACCAGUGGCGAAGGCGACUUACUGGACUGUAACUGACGUUGAGGCGCGAAAGCGUGGGGAGCAAACAGGAUUAGAUACCCCUGUAGUC